rnacentral:rRNA from 1 species
AUUGAACGCUGGCGGCAGGCCUAACACAUGCAAGUCGAACGGUAACAGGAAACAGCUUGCUGUUUCGCUGACGAGUGGCGGACGGGUGAGUAAUGUCUGGGAAACUGCCUGAUGGAGGGGGAUAACUACUGGAAACGGUAGCUAAUACCGCAUAACGUCGCAAGACCAAAGAGGGGGACCCUCGGGCCUCUUGCCAUCGGAUGUGCCCAGAUGGGAUUAGCUUGUUGGUGGGGUAACGGCUCACCAAGGCGACGAUCCCUAGCUGGUCUGAGAGGAUGACCAGCCACACUGGAACUGUGACACGGUCCAGACUCCUACGGGAGGCAGCAGUGGGGAAUAUUGCACAAUGGGCGCAAGCCUGAUGCAGCCAUGCCGCGUGUAUGAAGAAGGCCUUCGGGUUGUAAAGUACUUUCAGCGGGGAGGAAGGGAGUAAAGUUAAUACCUUUGCUCAUUGACGUUACCCGCAGAAGAAGCACCGGCUAACUCCGUG